UGCAGUAGAUGUGGCCUCAUUGGAGUUGGCAUGUCACUGUGGGUAUGAACUUUAAGACCCUAUCCUAGCUACCUAGAAGCCAGUAUUCAACUAGAUGCCUUCAAAUGAAGUUGUAGAACUCAGCUCUGCCUGCACCAUGCCUGCCUGGAUGCUGCUAAACUCCUCCCUUAAUGAUAAUGGACUGAACAUCUGAACAUAAAUUUUGGUCCAUGCUAGUGCAGAAGGCUUGAUGGGAGGUGUUCAUUUCUGACAGUGGAAGCCUCUGGCAGUUACUUGUUCACACGCUCCAGACCAGGAAGCAGAAGCUACAAGCCCUACUCAGAGGUGGAAGAGACUAGUGUUGAAAGACUUGGCAACUUCUAACAUUGCUUAGAAUAUUCCAUCAAUGAUAUAAGAAAUCCAGCUUCCUUGAGACCAUCAAGCUAGAAGGAAGUCCAAGUUUACCACAUGAAGACACCAUAACAAAAAUAAUCCAUGAUGCCUAGCUGAAAGCAAAAACUAAGAAGUGCAAUCAUAGGACUAUAGUCAUGUCAUCUUGGAUAUUCCCUAUUGAGUGACAUCAGCUGAGACUGCAGAUGAGACAGAUCAAAGAAAACUGGUCCAUGCUAUCAUGUAAUGUACUUUCUAUUACACAGGAAUAAAGUAGCUAUUAUAUUAAGCUGCUGUGCCUUGAGAUACACUUCAGUAAAACAGGUAGCCAGCAGGAUUCUUUCACAAUGAAUUGGUCAGUAAUCUCUAGAGGAGUGGAACCAACAUGAGAAACUGUCUCAUGAAAUUACAGAGGCUGAGAAGCCUCGUGACCUGCCACAUGUAAGCUGGAGAUUCAGGAAGCCAGUGCUUUGGUUAUGAAGGCUAAAGAACAAAGAGGACAAGUGGGUAAUUCUAGGCUGAGGACAAAGAAAUAAGAUGCAUCGUUCCAAGCAACCAAGUCUAAAACAAGAGUCAAAUAGAAGAAUUCUGCCUGCUGUUGACUUCUACUGAGACCCUCCAAGAACUGAUGAUGCUCACCCACACUGCUGAGGUCAUCUGCUUUAUUCAGUUCCCCCACUGGAAUCUGAUAAUAUCAGAUAAGCCCUUCAUAAAUACACCUAGAAAUAGUGUCUAUAUAUGAAUUUCACAUCAUAGAAAAUUAAUCAUCAUGGCUGAUGAGAUAGUUCUUGCUUUCAGAAUUAAAGCUUUAGCACUGGGA